AAGCGUUCACAUGAGCAGGCAGGCAGCCAUUGCCAUCGUACGGUUUUCAUAUGCAGGUGAAAAGCAGUCUCGAUAAGGGCAGUGCAGAUUCCCAACAACGAUUGUGCCAUUUUACGGAAUUAGGGAAAAACCUGGAUACAGAAAGCACUAGUAAUGUGACCGAUAAGACGAUGCCUUUCAAUAGACUCGGUUACUUUGAUGAUGACCUCGAAAAACAAACAUCACUCAAGAUGGAGGCAUGGUGGCGCACUAUGUUAAAUUUGACAUCAAUUGACCACUUUUGGACAAGCGUUUCGUCGGGUGAAGCGCAUAAAUGGCUAGAAAGCGCACACAUAUUUUAUGGCUAGAAACUAAUUAGUUCACCAACCACAAGGUUCUCUCAGAGUGUUGAAGUUAACGUUAGCAAGAGACAUUUAGCUGGGAUAGAAUUUCCUUAGAAAGAUUAACAAGAUAGGAAGAACAAACGAUUUCGGUAAAUGGUCAUAGAGGGCAUAUAAAGCUUAAAAGAUUUUUAAUCUAGUUGCUUGCAUUCCAACACACUCACACUCAGAUCAGUAAACAAAGCAAAAAGUAUAAAAUAAUUACAUUACAGUCCCUAGCAACGGAACAACUUGGUAAAAACAAGCGUAACUUACCUCAUCAUCUGAACGGCCCCUUUUCUCUAGCAAAAUGCGUUUUUCCAUGAUGUUGUCAGUAAAGACUGGUUUUCACUUUCGUUAGGAUAACUACACCUCUGCAGUUCCGUUCGCACUUCCUUCCUUUCUUUAAACCACGACCACUUAUCGUGUCUUCUUCUUCCUACGCGUCAAUAGAUGGGUUUCUUCUCUGUGUUGUUUUUGAUGCUCAGCACGAAUUAACACAAUUUAAUUUCCUGUAAACGAAUAGAAAAGGACACAAAUGUUCACUUUUUGUUUCUUUUGUUGAAUUAUUACACUGUUUAGAUAAAAUAAUUCGCUCAAUCUCACACCAAGCAGUUCGUAUCAGAAUCAAUUGCAACGUUCUCUAAACCGAGAGAACCGAAUUUUUGAAAAUGGCUUUUAAUUCUUUUCCGUGAUAUGACUAAACAACAAACACGAAGUUCGGUUGUCCCUUAUAAUGUUGAACAUCACAGUGCUUCUCUCCUCCAGCUAGGGCGCACACUGUACUGUGCGACCGAUCUUAUGAAAAGUUAAUCACUUUAGCACCUUGUUUAUGAUUAGCAAUAAUCGUUCCAUCGCUAACUCGCGCUAUUAAAACUACCUUUCCGUACAAAAGACUCGCGGUGUUCGGCGUUGGUAACUUUUUGGCAGAAAGAUGCCUACUUUGCUUACGACGUGCACAUGAAGGGAAAAUCUUAUCGUCGUCGCUAUGCACUCUCACUUCUGCACACUUCUGUUAUAAUUCGCUGGUGAUGGACCUGCUUGCUGCGAUAGAUGACACAUAAGCCUGUCCUCACACACCUUGUACGCUGUGUGUAGUGGCCAUGUGUGUAUACACGCGAAACCCGUGUAACAUCACGCCGUGUCCGCACACGCCAAAACACACACACACACACAGUCACGCGCGCCCGUCUGUCCGAUACACUCGGAAACGAGUGUCGUUGCGAGUGAGAGGUAUAAAAAAAUUGCCCUUCUUUGCUUGCCACCCCCAUCACCACUACUAUCGCUCGCUUUCUGCUAACGUGUUCGUAACGGUGUGCUAAUGUUUUUGAUUUUUCUGCGCCGAAAUUAUGUAUAUCCUCUUGCAUCGUCAAAACGGCAGACUCGCGCGAAUAAUCGGGACGCCAAACCGGGGCAUCUCAAUCUAACAACACCAGGUUACAAUUGGUACGCUCCCGUAUGAGUUCACUUCCUUCCGGUAAGGCGGCAAACACACACCAGACGGAAGAGGAGUGAAAUUUUGCUCGCCUUUAUUGAGGAGGUUAUGAGGAUAGUCUCGCUAUAGCUUUUUAACCUUCAGCGUACGCCCUACCACUACCAUGUAUACACCAUGCUGCUGCUACACAAGCCUACAAAUAUUUUCUGCACACUGGGGAUACACACACGGAAUGCAAGCAGAGACCACACACAAUGUGCCACCUUUCACGAUGAAAACCGUUCAAGAUGGUCAGUUUUUUAUCGGAAGGCGUAAGGCCGAAAGGAACUUGUUUUAUUUUUUUUGCCUCAUGAAUCAUAGAAAGAAAAUAAAACGAGGACGCACUAAACGAGGCUACUAAAACUCUGCGAAUCUAGUUAGGUGAUAAAUAUCGGGGGGUGCAUCGAUUGCACCCACCAUGAAAGAUGUGUACGCACUGCCAUCACACACCUCGCCACCGUACGUACGCACACACUACCGCACAUAGCCUACUCUUUGAGGAAAAUCGAGCAAAGCAGGUUAGAGAUAGGUUCAAUUCCAAUUGCGAGCACACAAGCAUCACGCCGCGAGGGAGAAGGAUGGGGCAGAUGGAGAAGGGGUACCCUUUUGCUUCCUUUUUCGGAUAACAACGCGUUGUCUUUGAACGGUUCUGGGUCGUUUUCACCAUUUACCACCUGGCUGGCUGACUGUUGGGUGUCUUUCGCGGGACGAUUCGUUGUGUAAACGUGUGACGAUUAUCGUUUCGGAAGCCGCAAUAUGUACGCAACAUACGCUCCUUCCCUUGGAGGUGCACGUAAGCAAGAAAGCACGCACGCACGCACGUACGGGAUAGUACAGUACGUUUACACACUGUCGUGUAUUUUGGGCCGGUUCUAUGAGGAAAUAGAAAAUAGCGCUUUUCUCCACAUACACACACACGGGAUGAGUGUGGCCGUAUUCGCCUUUACUAAGCGUACGCACCCCGAGGAACAAUCAAAUGCACUUUGGUUUGCGAAUAAUUACUGUUCACUAGAGCACUGGUUGAAGGAUUUUUGUGUGGUUUCACAAAACGACGUUUGAUUAUAUUUUCCAACCACCAAAACUCGUACCUUUUUCUUUACUGGCUAUCUGCUUCUGUUUCUGCUACUGCUGCUGCUGCUGUUGCUGCUGCUUGUGCUCCUCGUCUGCUUUUGUGGAAGGCACUCCGUUUCUCACCGCUUGCUAGUGUGAGUGGGACAGUCGCACGCGUACGAACGCACACACAUGUACGUAGUCUCGAUCUAGUGACGAAUACGGCAGGGUUCGACAGAGUUGCAAAUAGAGUGAAUGUGUGCAUUCAUAUGCGUACACUCUUCUUUGUGUAUGAGUUUGUGUGUGGGUGCGGAGAGCGCUCUUUCAAGUUUCACUCAUCGCAGUACACUCACACUAGCGUCUAGUAGGACCGCGUUGUUUCGCGCUCGACCCAUUCGAACUUCCGAGAUAAUCAGCCGUUGGAAGCGCAUAUAUGAAUAACGGGAAUACUGCAAUUCGGUUUCUGGUCAGCUUCAAAACAUAAGGAAACCAGUUGGUAGAGUGCAUGGACAGUUGGUUUGUAGUAAAGUAACUUCAACAAAAUAUAUAUCAAUAAAAUUGUACAAAUUGUACAACAAAUGCAUACAA